rnacentral:rRNA from 1 species
GAUGAACGCUGGCGGCGUGCCUAAUACAUGCAAGUCGAGCGAACAGACGAGGAGCUUGCUCCUCUGACGUUAGCGGCGGACGGGUGAGUAACACGUGGAUAACCUACCUAUAAGACUGGGAUAACUUCGGGAAACCGGAGCUAAUACCGGAUAAUAUAUUGAACCGCAUGGUUCAAUAGUGAAAGACGGUUUUGCUGUCACUUAUAGAUGGAUCCGCGCCGCAUUAGCUAGUUGGUAAGGUAACGGCUUACCAAGGCAACGAUGCGUAGCCGACCUGAGAGGGUGAUCGGCCACACUGGAACUGAGACACGGUCCAGACUCCUACGGGAGGCAGCAGUAGGGAAUCUUCCGCAAUGGGCGAAAGCUUGACGGAGCAACGCCGCGUGAGUGAUGAAGGUCUUCGGAUCGUAAAUCUCUGUUAUUAGGGAAGAACAAAUGUGUAAGUAACUAUGCACGUCUUGACGGUACCUAAUCAGAAAGCCACGGCUAACUACGUG